AUCUAUCUCCUCCCUUCAAAGUAUAUUUUGCACACAUCUUCCAGGGCACGUUUGACUUCUUAAUAAUUCCCAGCAGAGCUUCAUCCCAAUAGGAAACUCUGGCCAUGAAACUUCAACAAACACAUCCAAAAAAUAUGCCCCUUGGUGAUUCUUCUAUUGGGUAUGAGACUGAGGGAGGGACUGGUACUCGUGGCCAGGGGCACUGAGGGGCAGUGUUUUAGAACCAUGCAAAGAUGAUUCUUAGAGCUUGCAGGAGAGAAGAUACUGAACCAUCCAAGCCUCAGAUGCAUGUCUGCCUUAAAGGAGAACAGCCCUCCAUAAGCAUUGGCUCCAAAGAGAUGAGACGGAAUUUUCCACUUGAACCUAGAAUGGCAAGAAGAGGAGCCUGAGCUUCAGGGAAACUAAACAGGCUGCGUCCUACUCAUAGAAGCCACUGGAGGUAAGAGCCCUGGGCUGUCAUCUAAGGUGCCAAAAGUCGAGAGUGUUUCAACCUGGUGGCUCUUUCUUUACACGUGGAAAUUUCUAAUUCUUUGGAUGUUAUCGCUACCCACAACCAACCAGAGACCUUCUUCUUUCCACACUCUGUUAAGAAUCUUCCUUAUGUAUAUAUUAUUUUACUUUUCUGCUUCAGUAAACAUAAUAAGUAACAAUAAUAAUAGUAUUUAUUGAGAACUUUCU
rnacentral:lncRNA from 1 species